rnacentral:rRNA from 1 species
GACAGAGGAUGCAAGCGUUAUCCGGAAUGAUUGGGCGUAAAGCGUCUGUAGGUGGCUUUUUAAGUCCGCCGUCAAAUCCCAGGGCUCAACCCUGGACAGGCGGUGGAAACUACCCAAGCUGGAGUACGGUAGGGGCAGAGGGAAUUUCCGGUGGAGCGGUUAAAUGCGUAGAGAUCCGGAAGAACACCGGUGGCGAAGGCGGCCUGCUGGGCAGUUUUGCUGACACUGAGGCGCGACAGCGUGGGGAGCAAACAGG